AUUGAACGCUGGCGGCAGGCUUAACACAUGCAAGUCGAACGAGUGGCGGACGGGUGAGUAAUGCUUGGGAAUCUAGCUUAUGGAGGGGGAUAACUACGGGAAACUGUAGCUAAUACCGCGUACCAUAGGAUGAGCCCAAGUUGGAUUAGGUACUUGGUGAGGUAAAGGCUCACCAAGCCGACGAUCGCUAGCUGGUCUGAGAGGAUGACAAGCCACACUGGGACUGAGACACGGCCCAGAGUCCUACGGGAGGCAGCAGUGGGUAAUAUUGCACAAUGGGCGAAAGCCUGAUGCAGCCAUGCCGCGUGUAUUAAGAAGGCCUUAGGGUUGGAAAGUACUUUCAGCGGGGAGGCGGUAGGAGAAGAAGAAGCACCGGCUAACUCCGUGCUAGCAGCCGCGGUAAUAG
rnacentral:rRNA from 1 species